GGGUUUCCCUUUCUUUCGAGACGACGGGCUCGUCAGGGGCCUGCUCCGUGGAGGAUGCGAGUUUGCGGUCUUCAGUGCAUGUUCAACCCCUCUCCACCUCCGAAUCUCAAUAAAGCGGCUUGACCCC